GACGUAGGGCGCGAGCGUUGUCCGGAUUUAUUGGGCGUAAAGAGCUCGUAGGCGGCUUGUCGCGUCGACUGUGAAAGCCCGCGGCUCAACCGCGGGUCUGCAGUCGAUACGGGCAGGCUAGAGUUCGGUAGGGGAGACUGGAAUUCCUGGCGUAGCGGUGAAAUGCGCAGAUAUCAGGAGGAACACCGGUGGCGAAGGCGGGUCUCUGGGCCGAUACUGACGCUGAGGAGCGAAAGCGUGGGGAGCGAACAGG
rnacentral:rRNA from 1 species